UACGUAGGGGGCAAGCGUUGUCCGGAUUUAUUGGGCGUAAAGAGCGUGUAGGCGGUUUGGUAGGUCCGUUGUGAAAACUCGAGGCUCAACCUCGAGACGCCGGCGGAAACCAUCAGGCUAGAGUCCGGAAGAGGAGAGUGGAAUUCCUGGUGUAGCGGUGAAAUGCGCAGAUAUCAGGAGGAACACCUAUGGCGAAGGCAGCUCGCUGGGACGGUACUGACGCUGAGGCGCGAAAGCGUGGGGAGCAAACAGG
rnacentral:rRNA from 1 species